UACAGAGGGGGCAAGCGUUAUUCGGAAUUAUUGGGCGUAAAGGGCGCGUAGGCGGCCUUCUAAGUCGAACGUGAAAUCCCUGGGCUCAACCCAGGAACUGCGUCCGAUACUGGAAGGCUUGAAUCCGGGAGAGGGAUGCGGAAUUCCAGGUGUAGCGGUGAAAUGCGCAGAUAUCAGGAGGAACACCGGUGGCGAAGGCGGGUCUCUGGGCCGAUACUGACGCUGAGGAGCGAAAGCGUGGGGAGCGAACAGG
rnacentral:rRNA from 1 species